rnacentral:rRNA from 1 species
GACGAACGCUGGCGGCGUGCUUAACACAUGCAAGUCGAACGGAAAGGCCCUGCUUUUGUGGGGUGCUCGAGUGGCGAACGGGUGAGUAACACGUGAGUAACCUGCCCUUGACUUUGGGAUAACUUCAGGAAACUGGGGCUAAUACCGGAUAGGAGCUCCUGCUGCAUGGUGGGGGUUGGAAAGUUUCGGCGGUUGGGGAUGGACUCGCGGCUUAUCAGCUUGUUGGUUGGGUAGUGUCUUACCAAGGCUUUGACGGGUAGCCGGCCUGAGAGGGUGACCGGCCACAUUGGGACUGAGAUACGGCCCAGACUCCUACGGGAGGCAGCAGUGGGGAAUAUUGCACAAUGGGCGGAAGCCUGAUGCAGCAACGCCGCGUGCGGGAUGACGGCCUUCGGGUUGUAAACCGCUUUCGCCUGUGACGAAGCGUGAGUGACGGUAAUGGGUAAAGAAGCACCGGCUAACUACGUG